GGGAAUAUAGCUCAGUGGUAGACUGCAUGCCUACCAUGCAUGAGGUCCUGGUCUCAAUCCCCAGUACUUCCA
rnacentral:tRNA from 1 species